UACGUAGGCAGCAAGCGUUGUUCGGAGUUACUGGGCGUAAAGGGUGCGUAGGCGGCUUCUUAAGUCUGGUGUGAAAUCUCCCGGCUCAACUGGGAGGGUGCGCCGGAUACUGAGGGGCUAGAGUGUGGGAGAGGAAAGUGGAAUUCCUGGUGUAGCGGUGAAAUGCGCAGAUAUCAGGAGGAACACCGGUGGCGAAGGCGGGUCUCUGGGCCGUAACUGACGCUGAGGAGCGAAAGCGUGGGGAGCGAACAGG
rnacentral:rRNA from 1 species